CCUACGGGAGGCAGCAGUAGGGAAUCUUCGGCAAUGGGGGCAACCCUGACCGAGCAACGCCGCGUGAGUGAAGAAGGUUUUCGGAUCGUAAAGCUCUGUUGUAAGAGAAGAACGUGUGUGAGAGUGGAAAGUUCACACAGUGACGGUAACUUACCAGAAAGGGACGGCUAACUACGUGCCAGCAGCCGCGGUAAUACGUAGGUCCCGAGCGUUGUCCGGAUUUAUUGGGCGUAAAGCGAGCGCAGGCGGUUUAAUAAGUCUGAAGUUAAAGGCAGUGGCUUAACCAUUGUUCGCUUUGGAAACUGUUAGACUUGAGUGCAGAAGGGGAGAGUGGAAUUCCAUGUGUAGCGGUGAAAUGCGUAGAUAUAUGGAGGAACACCGGUGGCGAAAGCGGCUCUCUGGUCUGUAACUGACGCUGAGGCUCGAAAGCGUGGGGAGCAAACAGGAUUAGAUACCCGAGUAGUC
rnacentral:rRNA from 1 species